CCGGGUGUGGAAGUGCAGCAAUGCAUUGAGCUAACCGGUACUAAUGACCCGUGAGGCUUGACCAU
rnacentral:rRNA from 1 species